UUAUUACUUUAUAAAUAACCUAUUUUAUUUUAUUUAAAAUAGAUUACAAAUGUGUUUGCGGUAUUGCUCUAGACUGUCAGGGAGAAGUGAAUGUAUUAAUGGGUUUGGAUUCUGGUAGAUUUUUUAAAUACAAAUUUUUUUGUGUUUUAAACACAUUGCAUAUUUAUUUUGAAGCUUGCCCAUGAAGUGUACAGAUAAGAGCAAAUCACAAAAUGUUAUUAAAAUGUGUACACAAACUGAUAUGUCAUAUCAGUCAUUAUGACAUGCCAUAAUUUCUUUAUUUUUACCUUAAUGUUAAAUCAAUGCAAAACAAAAUUGCCCAAAUUUCCUUCCUCUUUAUUACAGUGUUAUUAUUAAUGAAAUAUAAAAAAAAAAAUGAAUUGCCAUGGCUCCAUACUGCCCCUAUGCAUAUCUAUAAAGGACUGUAAAUUGUCUUAGAGGAUGUGGGGGACAGAAAAGAGGAAUCAUAGUGCCAGUGUGUAGGUAAUUAUGGAGGAUACUGCAAGACCUGUAAGCCAAUAUAGCCACCUGCUGUGUGGAAAGCUUGAAAAAUACUGUGGUUUUCUGGCUUCAGCAAAAUCCCUUUCAUCUCUUUUAUGGGGGUCCAUCUCAGCAGUUUGUGGCUUUGUGGCUAUUCAGUGUCUCUAUCUUGAUGAACCUAUCUACUUUUAGUUUAUGGCAUAUUGCAAUCAAAUAUGUCUGCAGCUUUGUGACCUACCCAGCUGGGAUUAAUAGCUCUGAUUCAUAGCAUUACAAACAGGCAAUUCUGGUAUUGUUCUGCUCAGUACUAAGGUCUGAUGUAGGGUGAAGGGAUAAAGUCUAGCCUAUUUUUUAUAUAGUUUAAUACUGUUGGACAUGUUCUUUAGAUGAUGUUUCUAACUUUCUCUGAGAACAAUUUUUCAUAAUACAUUUUUUCAUAAUGUUGAAUGUUGCUUUUGUAAGAUGGG